CUACGUUAAGCACUGACAUGAUUUUGCCAGCGGAUAUUUUGUGGAACUAUUGCGUGUUGCUAAAUGACCUCUCCAUCACCAUCGAGUACACCACAGAGACUCCUGCCCAGACCGCCAGGAAUCUUGUUGUGAAUCUACAGUCUUACACGGCCCAUAUUGCUCUCAUAAUGCACUCCUGCAGGUUUGCACUCUAUAACACCUGCCGAAUAAGACCAUUCCUCACCGAGGAUGCUGCCCAGCUCCUGGUUCAAGCUCCCGUAACCUCCGGAUUGAGGUACUGGAGCUCCCUCCUGGCUGGGCUUCUGCAGUACAGCCCCUUCAUCCAGAAUUUUGCUGCCUGCCAGAUUUUCAACCUUUGAAAAUUUUCCCAUGUCACUUCCCUCCUGCGUUCCCUUCACUGGCUGUCUGCAUUAAAAUAAAAAAAUUCAGGCCAUGGGCCAGUCCUACACCCAAACCUGUGCUCUACGCACUGUUGCCACUGCCGGCCUGGCUCUCCCCUCCCUGCGACAAAGGACCAAAAAUAAAUAAAUAAAUAGAAUCGGUAGCAAUAACCCUCCUGAUAAUUUCUCAGUAUGUGAAAUUUCCAGAAAAUUGGGUAUACUUUCUAUCUCUCCAGAAACAUUCCCACUCCAGUCAAACAAAAGCCUUCUCAGCAUUGAACAAAAAUAAUGUUUACAAUGGAAAUCCUGAUUGAUUUACAUGCUUCACUUAAAAAGCCUACAGACAUUGGAUGGAAGACCAGAUUUUAUAAAACCAAGUUUGGCAUGAAUAACAAGCUUGAUCAUGUCAUUUUAAUAUGGUUAGCUAGAACCUUUGCAUACAGUUUGGCAUCAGAAUUUAUUAAGGAGAUGGGUCAGUAGGUUGUGUAGUUUGCAGAGUCUUUAUUUUUCUUCAGAAAUACAGAAAUUCUGGUUGAGUUUACAUGGCGAUGGAAUGACAUUUCUGAAUUAAACAGUACAGUAAUGUUUUUUUUUCCUUUCUAGUUAAUUGAGGAAAGGGAGCAUCUAGCACUGUACUUUCUUGUGAGGUGAGUUUAGGGAGCUUAAGAUCAAGUGGAAAAACUGGGUUUAAAAAAAAGAACACAGGAGUCAUUUAGUUUAGAGUAAAAAAAAUAUUUCUAUGCUAAUUUGUUGGGGGUCGGUGAAUAGACUAGCCUGCAUCAAUUUAAUUAAUGAUACACUAAAAAAUACACUAAAUAUACACUAAAUAAAAAUAGUUGGAGGCAUGGAGACAUCAGUGGCAGGUGAGAAGGUGGACAGAGAGGAAAACACCACUGAGGAAAAAAGUGUGAUGAGGCCAGAAUGCUGUAAAACAGGAAGCUUGAAAAAUGUUUUCCUUUUUACAAAGAAUUUUGCAAAAUGAUCUGCAGUGAGAGGGAGAAGCAGCAAGGGAUCUUAGCAUGAGGGACAAGCUGGAGAACAGUGGCCUGGGUUUAUGCCUGUCAACAAGGUGCUUUUUUCACGUCAGGGCAGUCCCAAGGUCAAAGCUGACAGACCAAGUGAAUAUGCAGAAUACAUACACGAGCUAUUUAUAUACCAUUUCUGUACGUUAGCUUGUAAUUCACAUAAACUCUUGGUUACAAUAAAUGAUUUAGAAAUGUGUCUAUCUAUUUUCAUUUACUUUA